ACCAAAGAGGAGAAUACCCUUCUCGUGAGUUUUUGACAUAUCUAAAAGAGAAUAGGAUUCUCUCUUAUUGAAAUCAAGUUUGUUAGACAUAGUUUGAUCCAUGAUGGGGUUUAUAAAUUUGCUAGUCUUGUUUUAGGGUUAUGCUCUUAAGACUGCUUAUUGUGUUCUAAACUGGAUUCCAAAUUAAUAAGUCACAAAGACUCCAUAUUAGAUAUAGACUUGGCAUAAGCCGAUACUUUCUUACCUUAAGAUUUGAGAGUGUUUGUUCUAUAUUAAGCAUUUACAGAUCGAUUAGCUUGGAUCCCAAUCCUAUAUGUGUUAUUUUG
rnacentral:lncRNA from 1 species